rnacentral:rRNA from 1 species
GAUGAACGCUGGCGGCGUGCCUAAUACAUGCAAGUCGAGCGUACAGACGUGGAGCUUGCUCCUCUGACGUUAGCGGCGGACGCGUGGUUAACACGUGGAGAACCUACCUAUCCGCAUGGGAUUACUUCGGGCAACCGUUGCUAAUACCGGAUCAUAUAGUGAACUGCAUGGGUCAAUCGUUAAAGACGGUCUUGCUGUUACGUACAUAUGGAUCCGCGCCGCAUUAGCUAGUUGGUAAGGUAACGGCUUACCACGGCAACGAUGCGUAGCCGACCCGAGAGGGUGAUCGGCCACACUUGAAAUGAGACACGGUCCAGACUCCUACGGGAGGCAGCAGUAGGGAAUCUUCCGCACUGGGCGAGAGCCUGACGGGGCAACGCCGCGUGAGUGAUGAAGGUCUUCGGAUCGUAAAACACUGUUAUUAGGGAAGAACAAAUGUGUAAGUAACUAUGCACGUCUUGACGGUACCGAAUCAGAAAGCCACGGCUAACUACGU